rnacentral:rRNA from 1 species
UAAGCAUAUCAAUAAGCGGAGGAAAAGAAACCAACCGGGAUUGCCUUAGUAACGGCGAGUGAAGCGGCAAAAGCUCAAAUUUGAAAUCUGGUACCUUUGGUGCCCGAGUUGUAAUUUGGAGAGGGCAACUUUGGGACCGUUCCUUGUCUAUGUUCCUUGGAACAGGACGUCAUAGAGGGUGAGAAUCCCGUGUGGCGAGGAGUGCGGUUCUAUGUAAAGUGCCUUCGAAGAGUCGAGUUGUUUGGGAAUGCAGCUCUAAGUGGGUGGUAAAUUCCAUCUAAAGCUAAAUAUUGGCGAGAGACCGAUAGCGAACAAGUACAGUGAUGGAAAGAUGAAAAGAACUUUGAAAAGAGAGUGAAAAAGUACGUGAAAUUGUUGAAAGGGAAGGGCAUUUGAUCAGACAUGGUGUUUUGCGCCCUCUGCUCCUUGUGGGUGGGGGAAUCUCGCAGUUCACUGGGCCAGCAUCAGUUUUGGUGGCAGGAUAAAUCCGUAGGAAUGUAACUUGCUUCGGGAAGUAUUAUAGCCUAUGGGAAUACUGCCAGCUGGGACUGAGGACUGCGACGUAAGUCAAGGAUGCUGGCAUAAUGGUUAUAUGCCGCCCGUCUUGAAACACGGACC